rnacentral:rRNA from 1 species
AUGGAUCACAACCCACAGAUCGUUUGCUGGAAUGCGAGAGGAUUAAACAACCCAGCCAAGAGGAAAGUAGUUAGAGAGUUCUUUGCUUCGUUGAAAGUCAAUGUAGUGUGUCUCCAGGAGACCAAGUUGGAGAUCGUGGACCAGUUCAUAGUAAUGCAAUGUCUCGGACCAUCUUUUGAUGGAUUCGCUUACUUGCCUGCGAGUGAGACGUGUGGUGGUAUUUUACUUGCAUGGGACUCGACAUGCGUGAACGUCGACCACCUACAGUACGAUGCCAACUUCCUCACCGGCAAAGUUCGACAACUUGAUGGCACCGAAUGGUGGGUCUCCGUGGUGUACGCACCCCAGGGUGACGAGCUUAAAACACAGUUUCUCAAUGACUUAUAUGCGUGCAGGCUGCAAUGUCCAGGUCCCUGGAUGUGCCUCGGUGAUUUCAACAUGAUACUCCACAGCUCGGAGAAGAGCAAUCAAAAUAUUAACAGAACCAUGAUGACCAAGUUCCAAAACUUUGAUGAUGACCAUGAGCUCAAGGAGUUGUACAUGCAUGGGCACAAGUUCACUUGGUCGAACGAGAGAAACACCCCAACCCUGACCAAGAUUGAUAGGAUGCUUGUUUCAGUUGAAUGGGAGUUGGCUUUUCCAGACUAUCUCAUGCAAGCACUAUCCACUAGUGUGUCUGAUCAUGCACCUCUCCACCUCUCCACGAGCAACACCUACGGAGCCAAGAGACGUUUUCGGUUUGAACUGUACUAG